UUCCUUUCCAUUGCAGGGUGGAUUUGUUCUGCAAAUGUGCCCGGAGCCGCUACCGUGUAGGCGCUUCUGCAGCCCGGAGAUGCACACGCCGAAGGGGCGCAGGGUCCAGUGAUGGUACCCGAGCAGACACUCCACGAAGCACUUAACCGUGCGUUUGCUCAUCGGAUCCCCCGAAGAACCCUCGGGGUCACAUACUGUGGUUAGCCCCUUUCGCAGAUCCGGGGACUGAGGUUUAGCUAAAUCAAAUGACUCGCCCACACCACACGUUAUUGAAUGGAGGACCCAGGACGUGAACCCGCAGUCUGCCUGGCAAGAAAAUGUGUUCUUUUCUGCAGACAACUCCAGGCUUUUACUCCUGGUCCACACCCAGGCCCGUGACCAAUGCCAGGUUCCAAGUUAGGAGAGAGCAGCAGGUCACAGAGUACAGUCACAGUACCCUCAGCCUUCAGGAGGUCAGAAGGAAGGUUCAGUGAAUAUGUCACGAAUGGCAGCAGCAGAACUGGAGGUUUGUCCGUCUGUCUCUAAAGCCCAAGUUCUCUUCUCUCAACCAGCCCACCUGGAGGUCCCAGAGCUGUCUGCAAAGAAUGCCAGCCAGAAGGAAAUCCUGACAUGGAGCGGAAAGACAUUCCAGGGCCCUGUGGCAGUGCUUUUGUUGUGCAAUUACAAGAAAGGGAACACGAUGUUCUGAAAUCGCACAAGGAAUGUAAACAAGACAGAUGGAAUCUCAGAACUGGUGCUAAUCCCUUGCUGGAAGUGGAUUCCAGAAAAAAAGGUCUUUUGUAUAGCAUUUGACUAGGUAGAUUGGCCCCUCAAACCCUGAAAAAAAAGUGCUGAGCUGAGCACAAUGGCAGAGUUUUGCAAAGGUGUAUGCACUUAAGAUAGUUUAUCUCUUCCUAAGCAAGUGGUUUCCUUGCUUCUACUGGAUCUCAAACGAGCUAGUGAAGAAUUCCCAGGAAGACGAGAAUUUAGCUUUUAGAAGGAAAAUCCCAAAGCUGACAUUUGUUGACAAAAGUAACUUCACAAGGUUUGAUGGAAUGAUCUUGGUAUUUCGCAGUGAACCCCAGUGCCACCCACUUAAGAUCUGUAACCACUUAUGGGGACAGGGGUGGGAUGGGGUUAUGUGAAGGACCCCUGCCACAUGCCUCUUCAUAUACAAUAAAUAAAGAGACCGAGGUCAUGAACUCCCUAGAAUUGUUUCACUUGCUUCAAGUGAAAACACUCCCAUGUGAAAAUGCAUGCAUAUUUCGUCACAUUUUAUUUAUAAC